CUGAGCCCUCAGACGGUUCUAGAAACUCCCCGGCCGAUUCCCCCAGGGGUACGCACCCAGCCGGCCGCCACCAGGGCUGGGUUCACCUUACUGAGACAAGCCCGGGCACGCCGGGACGAGGUAGGGCCCCUCGUGAGAGAAACCCGGGUAGGGCACCCAGGCGGUUGUGAGGGGAAGGCGAGCACACUCCCACGACGCCUGCGAGCCGCUGCGAGGCAGGAGCCUCGGGAUGUGCUCUCAGCCGUGUUUCUGGAGGUGCUGGCACAGCAGGCGCCGCAGUCGCCAUCCAUCCCCUGCGGAGGCCGCCGGCUCCCCCAGUUCGCGCUGUGCUGGCUGAGGCGGAGGGCGACCGGGGCCAGCCGCUACCCUUCACUGUUAACUGCGGCAGGGUGAGCACGGGAAAAUCAUCCCGGUUUUAAUUUACAGGAAGUUGCUGGAGGAGGGCACUCCGCGGGAAGAGAGAAUGGGAAAACUUUAGAUUGAUGAAUAGGGAAAAGUUUCCGCAGCAGCCCUGAUCGGCAGCCAGCGGUGGCUGCUGGGAGCUGGGUGACCUUUCAGAGAAAACCCCUCCGCAGCCAAAAAAGUGGCAGAUGCUUUGUGCAGGGAGGAAAGCUUGUGGCAAAGCCUGAAACUCAAAUUUCAGCUGGCAAAGAGAGCGGCUGAAGGGCACAUGAGGCUGCUCCAGGCACCUGAGGGAGGGCUCGGCUCCGCUGGAAGGCGCUGAUCCGUCUGUGCUUUGUGUCACUUCACUGCAGCCAAACGCCACCUGUGCCACCGCCCCCGAGCUCAGCGAGUGCCUGAUAACGGGACUGCACACACCGUGUGCCCACAAGAGUCCCCGUGGCUCUGUUCGGGUUUCAGCCCUGUCUCCGUGAGGUGAGGUGGCUGACAGGUGUCCAAGAGGAGGUGAAAUUUAGGAGGAUGACACAAAAUGUAUCAGGGAAACUUGCAUUACUCCUUAUCGCAUCACCCUUUCUUCCCGUGCCACGGAGAUAACACACACACCUGCUGCUCAGAGAGGAGGCCACUCACGGGCUGUCAUAUUACCCAGGUUCCUUGCAGAACAGGUAUCCUUGAGAUGACUUGCCAGCUGCCAGCCAGCAAGCACCAUGUGUGCUGUGUGCCCUGCUCAGCCAGCCAGCAGCCCAGACAAGUUGCUUUCCAAGCUGUGUAACACCAGGCUGAAACCGAGGAAAAUGUGAGUACAGUAUAUACAAACCUAACAGCAGAGCAAGAAAAGCAUUAGACAAUAGCCAGUUCUAAAAUGAUCAGCUGGCACCUAUGUUUGCCAGACAUAGAGAAACACACAUGGAAAUAGGAAAAUAAACUUAGACUCUGGAAACAUUUUGAACACCAGAAUAAACCAGUUGCACGGUUGCUUUCUGGCUUUACCUGUGGAGAGAGCUAUAGGCUCAGCCCAUGGAUUGAGUUUCCUGGGUGUAUGUCAUCAGAAUGUGGCAUAUCUGGAGCACCCGAGUACUGGGAAUCCUUCCCAAUGUCUCUUAAUGGAAGGUACAGUUAAUCUAUGGUGGCCUUGAGUUUAAAAUACCGUGUACUGCAUUACAGCCUCAACGAACCCACCUUUAAUGGGAAAAUUAUCACGGUUUAUCCCUUGCUUAUAGCUAAUAGAACAUUAUAACUUGAACUGUUCAUAAGAUUAUCCUUUGUUAUAAUGUCAGACUCAGAACCAUUUAAUACACUAAAGUCUAAAAAAAGAUGUGCAGCCACAAAGAAGCAAUUCUGUGUUCUCCAGUGCUCUGGCAGACUUUGUAAUUUGGAUUUACUAAAACUGCAUACCCACAC
ensembl:lncRNA